UACGGGGGGGGCAAGCGUUGUUCGGAAUUACUGGGCGUAAAGUGUGCGCAGGCGGCCGAGCAAGUCGAGUGUGAAAGCCCCGAGCUUAACUUGGGAACUGCGCUCGAAACUACUUGGCUAGAGUGUGGCAGAGGGAGGUGGAAUUCCACGUGUAGCGGUGAAAUGCGUAGAGAUGUGGAGGAACACCGAUGGCGAAGGCGGCUCUCUGGGACGGUACUGACGCUGAGACGCGAAAGCGUGGGGAGCGAACAGG
rnacentral:rRNA from 1 species